rnacentral:rRNA from 1 species
UACGGAAGGCAGCAGUGGGGAAUAUUGCACAAUGGGCGCAAGCCUGAUGCAGCCAUGCCGCGUGUAUGAAGAAGGCCUUCGGGUUGUAAAGUACUUUCAGUCGUGAGGAAGGUGUUAAGGUUAAUAACCUUAGCAAUUGACGUUAGCGACAGAAGAAGCACCGGCUAACUCCGUGCCAGCAGCCGCGGUAAUACGGAGGGUGCGAGCGUUAAUCGGAAUUACUGGGCGUAAAGGGCACGCAGGCGGUUAAUUAAGUUGGAUGUGAAAUCCCCGGGCUUAGCCUGGGAAUGGCAUUCAAGACUGGUUAGCUAGAGUCUUGUAGAGGGGGUUAGAAUUCCAUGUGUAGCGGUGAAAUGCGUAGAGAUGUGGAGGAAUACCGGUGGCGAAGGCGGCCCCUGGGACAAAGACUGACGCUCAUGUGCGAAAGCGUGGGGAGCAAACAGGAUUAGAUACC